CUCGAGCUCGGCAUGCUCGCCCGGACGCCGAGGCUCCUCCCUCCUCCUGAUUUAGUAAACAUCGCCGCCGCCGCCAUGAGCCUCUCCACCCUCUCCCGCGCUCGUCCCAGUUCCAGGUGCAUCACCUCACUCCGUGCAAUGUUCGGACCCCUAGGGUUAUCUGCUCGGGGGCCAUGGCGUGUUCCGCGCGGUGCUGCCUUCGCCGCCGCCGCCGCCCGGCGGUGAGGGCGCUGGCUUGUGUCUCGUGGGUCGCUGCCUGACUUCCAGUCUGGGGAGACGGGCUUCAUUGGCCAAUAAAUAGGGACGGGAAGGUCCGAGACUGGAGGUCCCUGCUCGCAAACUCGCAAUCCCGGCAGCUAUUCUAUUACCAAUCGAAAAAGAGAGAAGAAGAAGGCACCGAAAGG